rnacentral:snRNA from 10 species
GGGCGAUUUGGCUGUGACAUCUGUUACCCCACUGAUCGCCAGGGUUGGUUCAGCUGAUCUGGCUCCAUGGGUGUCCCUCCUGAAGCUCACACUCGCCUGAAGAGGACCAACAUCCCCAGUAGAGGAGGACCAGUCUUCAGGCAAGGGUAUAUGAGUAGCCGAGCUUCCCUGCUAGAACCUCCAAACAAGCUCUCAAUAGAGUGUCAUUGCAGAGCAAUUUCAUCUGGUCUAGUUUUUAGUACUCUUUCUGGAUUACUGGCUGAGGAUUAAGAAACAUGGACCAGAUGAAGUCAAUUAAGU